CUGCAUGCUUCAGUACAGUUAUUUGCAGUCAUAGAAGACACGUCUGUUAUCUUUAAAAAUGUUUUUAAAAAAUCUCACUAAUAGUUUGUAGCGUUUUUGAGCAAAAAACAUGAUUUAUCAGCCUGUCCUGGCUACUGCACUUGUGCAGAUCUCCACAUUGCGGUAGCUUCCUUAGUUGCGCAACGAUAUUAUUGACCCUUCUCAGCUUUUGGCUCAGCCAACAAGCUGAUUGGCUCUUUUAUUUAAAGAGCAGGACUUUUUCUUUAAACCAUGUCUUUCCAUGAUCAUCUCUAACCAUGAAUAAAACCACUUACAGAUGAUUAGAGAUUGUCUAUGUGACAAUCAGUGCCACAGUACGGAUAUGGAUACAUACAAUCAUAAUGUCUUUUUGGGAACCUUAAAUAUCCAUUAUAGCGCUGUUGUAUUCUAUUGGUUUCUAAGCUCUGCUCUCUUUUGACAUGUGCAUCAGUUAAAAAAAAAGUACAUGAACCUUUUUUUUUUUUUUUUUUU